ACCAUCCUUUUCUUGGGGUUGCGUUACUGUCCAAAUGAACGCAUAGUGAGGGCAGUACUGCUAACGCCUGAACAACACGUUCGUAUCAGCUAAAACUUCGGUUUUAGCUCGGUGCAAUUUUUGGAAAA
ensembl:snRNA